UUGUCUGACCAGGAGACAAAUUCUUUAACCGAGGAGUUGGGGAAUAAGAAGGAAGGAGAAUACAUUAAAGUCAGAUAGCCGUAAGAUUCACUUCAAAGUGGAAAUGGCAACACAUCUCAGGAAACCCAGAGAAGUAUACUGCCAGUGUUGGGAGUUCCAGUGAAUUCACUCAGAUUUCUCUUUGAAGGUCAGAGAAUUGCUGAUAAUCAUAUCCCAAAAGACCUGAGAAUGUGUGUUCACAAAAGAUUUGAUUCAACUUUAUCAAGAACAAAUGGGG
rnacentral:lncRNA from 1 species